CCUACGGGUGGCAGCAGUGAGGAAUAUUGGUCAAUGGGCUUACGCCUGAACCAGCCAAGUCGCGUGAGGGAAGACUGCCCUAUGGGUUGUAAACCUCUUUUGUCAGGGAGCAAUUGGCGCUACGUGUAGCGUUCUCGAGAGUCCCUGAAGAAAAGGCAUCGGCUAACUCCGUGGCAGCAGCCGCGGUAAUACGGAGGAUGCGAGCGUUAUCCGGAUUUAUUGGGUUUAAAGGGUGCGUAGGCGGAAGGCCAAGUCAGCGGUAAAAUCGCGGGGCUCAACCCCGUCGUGCCGUUGAAACUGGCGUUCUUGAGUGAGCGAGAAGUAUGCGGAAUGCGUGGUGUAGCAGUGAAAUGCAUAGAUAUCACGCAGAACUCCGAUUGCGAAGGCAGCAUACCGGCGCUCAACUGACGCUCAUGCACGAAAGCGUGGGUAUCGAACAGGAUUAGAUACCCCAGUAGUC
rnacentral:rRNA from 1 species